UUUCGAAUCAUUCACAAUGGGCGAAAGCCUGAUGGUGCGACGCCGUGUGAGGGAUGAAGGCCUUCGGGUUGUAAACCUCUGUCACCGGGGAAGAAACGCUCCAAGUUAACAGCUUGAAGCCUGACUUAACCCGGAGAGGAAGCAGUGGCUAACUCUGUGCCAGCAGCCGCGGUAAUACAGAGACUGCAAGCGUUAUUCGGAUUCACUGGGCGUAAAGGGUGCGCAGGCGGUUGGGUGUGUCAGAUGUGAAAUCCCGAGGCUUAACCUCGGAACUGCGUCUGAAACUACUCGACUAGAGUAUUGGAGAGGGUAACGGAAUUCACGGUGUAGCAGUGAAAUGCGUAGAUAUCGUGAGGAACACCAGAGGCGAAGGCAGUGCACUGGUACAUUCCUGACUCUGAGAUGCGAAAGCGUGGGGAGCAAAAAGGAUUAGAUACCCCAGUAGUCCCUGAGCGGGCUGGCAAGGCGCAU
rnacentral:rRNA from 1 species